rnacentral:lncRNA from 1 species
GGAUGGUGGUUGGAUGCUUGUUCAGCAGCUAACUUGAAUGGGGCAUAUUUAGAAGUCAAUGACGUGGUCUUUCCUGCUGCCUCUGGAAUCAAUUGGUUGACAUGGAGAGGAAAUGGUUGUUAACUGAAGGCAACUAAAAUGAUGAUUAAACGACAAUAAGAACCAUUCGUUUUAAGAAAUAUACAAGUCUAGUAUUUAAUCCCAGGAAAAUAGUGGUU